GGAGGGGAACGGGCGGGAGCGGUGGGGUCGUCCGCAUCGUGCCGGGCAGCCCGGAGCGGGGGUGGCCGUGGCCGCGCGGUACUGGUCGGAAGGCCGGGUGGUGAAAGCUGGCGCUUCAGCCAAGCAGACGCAGCCCUGGAGGUCCCCAACCUGGUGCAUGUCAGGAUAAGGUGCUCCCGUUCGAAGCCUUUCCAGCUGCUUGCCUGGUGAAGCUCAUGCGGGGUUAGUCACGGCUGACGGAGCAGCCUGAGGGGUGGAGAGCCUGCCCAGGAAUCAGGAGGACAGCUUUCAGCUCUGCCUAAUGGGAAUCAGGCCUGCACCUUCACAGCGCUGCCCGGACCUCCCGCUGCCCCCGGGCCAGGGUAAUGGUAGCACAGGGAAGCUGUGGCCUGUCCUUCCUGGGAGCUAUCCAAAAGCUGACUGCACAUGGCCCAAGCUGACCUUAUGGGAUCUGCUCUGAGCAGCAGGGAGUAGACUUGAUCUCCAGAGGCCCCUUCCAAGGUAAACCUGUUCUAUAACCUUAUGUUACAUCAGUAGAGUUUCAGGUCUUGUUACAAACUGGAAGGAUGCCCAAACCCAGAAAGCAAAUACUCCUUUGAGUACAAUACGCAGCGCUGUACGGCUGCUGCAAAUCAUGCCCUUUCCUUCCUGGCUGUAAACAUUUUGCAUGUAAGUUAUGUCACCCCAGAGAGCUAUUAGGGAAAGAUUACAUGCACCAUAUCUCCUGAAGAGCUGGAUUCUUAUCUGUCAACAAAGCUUACUGGUUUUCCUGUAAUCCUGUGAAUGUGCUUUCGUAGCCUUGGGCAAAACAUUUUUAGUUCAUCUGCUCUUCUGGUUUUGGCAAAUCUGCACAUGCUGCUGGUUGUGUCCCUGGUCCUGGAAACUCUCACACAUCUUCUUAGUUAGAUGGUCAUACACAGCCAGUCAUACUGAAGCGCAGAUAUUAGUAAGGCCAAGCCAUUGCAUGUGAGAUGGCACAUGGCCUGCAUUUGUCCGUCACUUAGCACUAGCUGGCUGUAUUAACUUGCCUAUACUGAGCUGCUUACCUCUGACUAGAGAACAUCACCAGCUGAAAUCAUUUCUAAUUAUGGUGUAUGUGUAUUAUAAAGUGCUGUUUUUGACGUAAGCUCUUACUGCUGAUUUUAAAGAGCGCGCCUAACGCUACCAGUGGGUUAUUGACCAAAACCCUCUCGUCUGUGGGGACAGACAACUGAUGAAAUCUGUGUGCAGACUUGGAACAAAUGAACCCCUAAUGGCCAAGGAACAAAUCAAUUUACAGAUGGUUAUGAAGUUAUUUAAAAAUAUCCCGAACAAUUCUGAAUAUAAACAACUUCUUGAACCCUGAAGAAGUUAAGAACUUCCUUUUAUCCAUUAUGACAGUGGGUGAGUACCACGACACAGGCAAUGUAUUCUUCCCUGAGGAGCAAUGGUAGAGAAUAUGCCACACGUGGUAUCAUAACUAACAUCAGUCACUGAGGUAAGGGCAGAUGCCGCCCUGGUGUGAAGGCUGUGCAAUGGAUAUGAUUUCUUCCUGUCCCUCCUGCCACGGCACCUUGCAGUCCUUUCUGUGGGCAGGAAGGAGAGGCCUGCCAGCUCAGCACAAGGCAGAGCUCCUCUGUAUCGUAACUGAUCUAUUGUGCAGAGAAGCUGAAGAGAAGACAAGGUGUCACACCAAGAAUCCAGAAAUGUAACUAAUCUAAUAUACCGAGGCUAAACUGGAUGAUAAAUUCUGAAAAAUUGACUUGAUGUAAUAGUCGUUUUAAAGGCAUCUUUAACGUAUUAAAUAUGUACUCACGAGACUCUGAUAUGGCAAAUUAAAGCGUAUGAAUAACCUCAUGCAGAUUCAUAAGCCGCAUAGAUAUUUGAUGGAAAAAGCUUAUAGGUUUGGAUAAUUCAAUAAAGCUUUGGCUGGAGCAGAAUUAAGUUAGGAUAUAAUGGCAUUUUCAUAUUAACAUUAAGUAAGUUUAAAAAAAGAAGUGAGAAAAAAGUUGAGUUGAGGCAAGGCAGGUAAUCUCUGCAGGGUCAGAUGUUGCCCACGGGGCUCAAUGGCUGUGGGCCAUGGCUGCUCAUUGUCUUCCAAAAGCCAUGGAAGGGAAAUUAGUCUCCGCAAUAUCAGAUCAUAAUAUAAUUUCUUAUCUGCAGUUAUGAGAAAUACCGGUCUUUAAUUAGCAACAUAAAUGAAAGUGGGAGAAAUUAUUAAAGGAAUGCCAUAGAGGUAAAAGUCUUUACCAGUUAUCCUGAUGAAAUCUGCCAAAAGCUGACAUGUACACUGAAGGAGGAAAUAAGACGCCCAUGCAAACCUCCACCUACAUCAGCUAACAGAAAGCAGAACUAAUUCUACCAAAGUCUCACACAUGGAGCAGGACAGUGGUGGCAGUGGGAGUUAAAGGGGCUGUGCAGGUUCUUUAAUGCAGGGGAUGCGAUCGCUGUGAUGCACUGCAGAGGGCAUGCAGUAAUUUCUGGCGUGGCUGCAGAGGGAGGUGCCCAUCUCCCGGGCACUGCUGACGCAGACGCUGUCAGUGAGGUGGAAGGAUUGCUGGGUACCGGUCUCCUUCUGUCUGUGGGUCUGCUCAGGUGCUGAUGGGUUAUUAAACCAUGAGCCUCUGCUGCAAUGUAUGCAGGCAGCUGUUAAACAAUCUGCAUUAAAUCGGCAAUUUUCUGAUCACAAGGAGAGAGACUCAUGAGUACCUGACAAAACAUCAUCACUUAAAGGUUUCCAGCUUCAAAGCACACCGAUUUAUACUGAUGUGGAGACAGCCCACUUCCUGAAAACUCUACUCGGGUGUUUAAGUUGCAUCACUUCCUGAUCCAGACCCUAUAGUGGGAUUCCUUCUGCUGUCUGUGGAGAGCAGACAGUGCCGUUAUACACGGCUGGCACCUGCACUGUGUAAAGCAGGUUUCCAAAACGUGAUUUCAGAACAUCAAAAACGCCCACUUACAACAUGACUUCCAAUGCAAACGGUGCACAGGUACCAACACCCAAAGACUUCUAACUCUAAAAGUUCGUGCUUAGGGUAAACUUGAACUCCAAUUUCUUGUGUUGUUAAUCAGUUCUGUGGGUCCCACAUUAAUGCUGAACCGAGCAACCGCACUGCCCCCAAGGAUUGGUAAAAACUCAGAUAUGAGAACAGGGAAAUAGCAAAUCCCCUUUGCAGGAGGAGCCCGAGGAGAAACUGAAGCGGACCCUUUGGAGCACACUUACUUCAGGAUCACAGUUUUACUUUGCAGGAAAUGAUGAUGAGCACAGGGGCCUAAGAGAGAAAAGGAAGUACUUUUAAAGCACUUGAUUACAUUCAAGAGAUUUUAAAAAUGCACCUACCGUGUUGAAUUUCAACCGGUUCUUUGAAUAAUUUGUUAUUAAAAUGCCCGAGGACUCAUUCAUACACAGAACGUGUUUGACACCACUUCCCUGUGCACUUCAGAGCUGUCACCAGGCCGCUGGCUGCCAUGUCCUCAGCGAUGCGGUAAGCAGGGCCGCUCCCUGCUGCCUGUGUUCGCUCCUCCUCAGCUGGCCGUGGCGCCUGCACAGCCAUGAAGCGACACGAGCACCAGGAGGCAGAGGUGAAAAACAGAAUGGAAGCUAUCCUGAGCCUUUGAAACUUCUUUCUCAUGCUGAGAAAGGUGUUGAUUCAUUUCGUUUUAGGGUAUCUCUACAAGUAGGACAACCGAAGUUGACUUCUGAUUCCAGACCAAAGCUUGCUGACUUUGAUCCCUGGCAGAUCUGCAGUUUUAUCUGCAUGAUGACUACAGAGCAAUUUACAAUUAGCAGCAACGAUCUGCCUGUAAUGAACUUAUUUUUAUUUACGCUAUGAAUAAGUUCUGUAAAAAUUAAUUGUGCUCCUUUGCAAUCGGUUCCUUCCCACCCGUAUUCCUACAGUAAGUCCAUUAAAAAAAAACUUCUGUUCUGUGGAUCUUGCUCUUGCUGGGUUUUUUUGUGCAGGUGGCACUGACUGCACUCACAAGCGAGGCCGAUGUACAGAGCACUACCAUGAAGGCCACCUAUGUUCGUAGCACACGAUCAUUUAUAAGGUAACUUAAGAACAUUCUGAACCUCAAAGGGAUGAUAUCACAGUUGCUGUUUUCAGUGCAAGUAAACAAUAACGUUCACCUGCAGGAAAUAAACACUUCAGCUAAGCACCAUGGUACUAAAAAGCCCAGCAAAGCAUUUAUUUUUGUAUUGCAGAGAGGUAAAACCAGUUUACUUCUGCAUCAGUGACCUCUACUUCUUCAGCAAGAGCCACAGAAUUCCAAUGUUUUCAUUUCCCCAAAUGCUGUCCUUCACCUCUUACUUACACUACUUUUCAUUAACUAGGAACAAAAUGAUCUCCUGUGCUUGUAGGGAGAGGUGACACGGGCAGCUAAGGCAGGUUUCAGAGCACCUAUCUUCACUUGUCCAGAACUCAGCUCAUCUCAGCUUCUGGCCUCGCUCUGCAGUGUCAACAGAGAAAGGCACCUCUGGGGAUUUAUUCAAAUAUUCCAGACAUAUUUUAGGAUGAAGCAAACGACCGUAUGUACUUCUGUGAGUGAGGAAGGGAGCCUGAACAGCCUAGCUGGAACACAGUCGCUUCCAUCUCCUCAGUUUUUCCUUCUGGACGUCACAGUUCCUCAGGCGAACCUUCCCAUCUGUUUGUGCCCUUCAGGCAAAUUCCAAGCCCUUCCAUUUGGAACAUUUUGGCAGCACUCCAUCCUCCACUCAGGGACAGUUGUUCACUCCACGGUCUGCAGUUUGCCUUCUACAGCGCAUCGCUUCCUCACUGUUCUUCAGUGGGACACAGCAGUGCAAAAGUGUCUCCUUGUGCCUCACACAGCAAUUCUCAACAGACUGGCACCGAAACACCAUUUACGAAGUACUGAAGUGUAACAACGCCUAAUGCUGUAAGGAGAUGUAAGCACUUUAAAAGGAUUACUUUACACUCCCAUUAUUCACUGUCCUAGAAGAACACCCUCGUCCUGGCUUGCACAUUCAUUACCACUGCUAUUAGAAUAAAGCCAAUUGGUUAAAUAAUCAGAGUAUAUAAAUUUUAGCAAGCCUGCUGAAACCGAGACAAAUUGUUUCUGAUUCUGUGACUGAUUUUCUCUUUUUCUUAGCUGUAAAAAAACAAUAACACUUUUUAAGAGAGUCUGUUUCUUAUUAAGAUUUAGAAUACUCAUUUUUCUGAUAUCCGAACUCCAAAAUAUGCAGCCCAAUGUUCCCUUACACCUCAAAGCUGAUUUAUUUGAAGAAGAAAAGUGCAUUACGCUUUCCUGACAUCAUAAAUUCGAGGUUCCAGAAGACAGUAAAUAGCAGGUGCAGCUGCCUGCGUACUCUGAAUUCUAUUUCUUGCCCCGCUGAUCUAAUGUCCUUACUGGAACGUGGGCUCUGGAAACAAAAGCAGUGGCACAAGGUAUAGAAUACAGAUGCAACUUUUAAUUGUUUAUGUGUGGAUAGACUGACCACUCUUUGGGAGGAUGAAGAGUAGAACAAACGAACAGGACUCCAACCCCCCAUUAUCUGUUACAGUACCUCCAAUGUGCCUGUGAAGCCUGUUCAGCAUGGCAGGGGUAGCACCUCACCACACGUGUGUUUCUUGGACUACAUGAGCUGGCAUGACUUGCAUAAUUUGGCUGAUGUCGGAGGCAUCCAGUUUGACCUUCAGUAUGUUGCUAUGUAGUUGCUAGGGAUGCAACUUUUAUUAGAUAAAGCACAGCUAAACAUCUGUUAUGACAAAACACAGAACUAGAAGAAAUAACCGAGCAUUUAGCCAGCAACUCCUACACCAGUCAUUUAGCCUGACCUGGCCUAUACUGUGCCACUGUGAAUAGACGAAUGGCAGCAAUUUCACUGAUUUAGAGCUUAAAAAAAGUAGAACGACCAACAGGAGGGACUGCGCCUCCAAUAAAGACUUCAUAUUCUAAAAUACUCUUAGAAGAGCAUACUUGUGCUUGUGUUCCUAGCGCAGCCAAUUACAAAAUGUGUUUUUCAGAAGCAAAGACACCUGUUUGAGAGACCUCAUGGCCAUGGCACAGAAUUUAGCUGCUGGCCUACCAGUAAAGCUGCAACAAUGAACAUACUUCACAUCUCUGCUUUCUGAAAUGCACUGAGAAAACAAGCUGCUGCUGUUGUGUAUACGGCUGAAUGCUACCUGCUUUGAUUCUGUUUGGAAAACCUCCAGGCGUUUUCCAACACCUUCAGUGGUCUUCUGGAGGUAUGUUUUAAAUUUCAACUCUUAAUUGCUCCCGUUAAAUGGCUCAGGAAUUAUUUACAGACUAUACUCACUUCUCAUAGAUCAGCAGUAUCUAACAAAAUGUAUUCAGCAUAGGGGGCUGAGGAGGUAAAUUCGUGGUCCUGUGCUCUCUGACUUCAUGUACCUUCAGCUUGCUCUUCGAGACAUGGUGGAACCACUCUUGUGGCCUCAGUAAUUUCCUAGCAAGGCAGCAACUUAAUGAAAAUGAGAAACAGCCACAGUAAUUCUCUUUUUUAAAAAAAUUUAGGAAGAAAAGAUGGCUCAUGUCUGAACUGAGCAACUGAAACAUGGUUUUCAAGAAGACUAAGACUUGCUUAGACCACAGACUCACUCAUUGCUACUUUAGUAUGCAGUAGCUGGAUUCUCUCUGUUUUUUUAGAGUCUAAAAUCAGUUUAUCUUUGUCACAGUAAGAAUGAAAGAUGAUUUUCAACAAAUAGAGAGAAUGCAAACUGUUUUCCUCCCCUUUGCAACAUUUCAGCUCAUCAGGCCGUACACCAUCACAAAGGAGAUGACAAAAACAGCAAAGCCAAAGCCUCUUGCACUGGCACAUCUGCCUGCACGUCAGGCUGCCGGGAGCUGUAAACACUGUUUAAUAUUGCAUAAGUCAGAUGGGUAAGGUCUCUCUUCAAAGAUCUUCAGCAGCAGUAACCAUGGGCAGUAGCAGGCAUUUAUCAUUUGCCUUUUGCUCAGUAAUAAAGGCACAGCCUUUCAAACCCAAUUAUGUAGUUGCCUUUGUGGAAGUUAAGUCGACGUGCAAACUGCUGUGAUUUGAAGAGUAAUGUAGCAAUUCUUUACUAUUUACUUUACUAUACAUAAGACCAUGGAAACACAAACGAGUUUUGAGUUAUAUCUAGUGAUGAAGUAAGUGCUAUUCAUCUCUGUUACCACUUCACUGUUCUUCAAAAAGAACAUGAGAACACUUGAGAAAAACCAGUACUUAUAAGCAGAAGUAUCAUAGAAUCAUAGAAUGCCUUGGAGUGGAAGGGGACUCGAAGAUCAUUUAACAGGACUACGUUGUUGCUGUGAGAUCUGGUCCAUCAUAAUCCUCAAAGGAAGACAUAGAAGAAAUCCUUCAACAGGGAACAGAUUCUUUAUUGGACAGAUUCCAAAGUUUUAUGUAGAAUACUGGAAUGGCAUAACAGCCACUGACAUUUUCAGUAUAAUACUGCAACAAACUGUCUAUUAUGACUUGUUCAGGAGUAAAAGCAAUUAAGCUGGCAUAAUAACAUACCAAACAGACAAGGCUGAUGAGGCUGCAGUGCUGCUCAAAUACAGCUGUGACUCAGACUGGAUAAACACACCAAGUAUAGUCUAGGUUCUGCACAGUGUGUGUCACUGUACUGUACAUCUGGCUUUGAUUUUUUGCCAAGCUAUAAGCUGCUCUAUCUACACAUUAAGUAUUGCAGAAGGAAGUACAGUGCCCACCAGAAGUGGAAGUAAUACGAACUGACUGCAAACCAAAUCUUGUUUUUACCCCCUCUUUGUUCCUCUGUAGGUUACCUACAAUAUUUGUCUGUUGCAGAAAGCCAUUGGGUUGUACUGGCCGUUUCUGAAAGACAACAGCUAACAGUCCAACUUACUUUUGAAAUGCUGCAUGGCAGUACUUAGUCAACUCAGAGAGAACUCAGAACUCUCUCAGAGAGAACAACACAUUCAAGUUUAAGGUAACAGCACAGUACACAAUGAAGCUACAGUUUAUGUUCAUUGUUUACCAUUUUGCCAAAGUUAAAUACAACACUAUUGUAGAGAAUCUUCGUAGAAACACAGUAGUUUUCACUGUCUCCCACCCACCUUUUAAACCCAUCAUUUGAGGCAUUCUGACGUAUACCAUAGCAGGCAUCUGGACUGCAGCUGAGAAACAGAAUCCUGUGUCAUCUCAGACACAUAUAGAAGGGCUUUAAACAAAAAAAGCAGGGCUUUAAGUUUGGUUGGCUUAAGAUACUCAACAUCAGCCAAGUGAAGAUAUUCAUGCAUCAUUCCAGUUCAGUCCAGUGUGGAUUAUAAAUGUCACACUCCAUAACCAAAUAAUAACACAAAAACAUAUUCUUGGGAUGGAAGAGUUUCAGGAGGCACUACAUAAGUCUGAGAAAAACUGAAAUGUCAAAAAAAGUUAAAGAAAAAAAAAGAAAAAUUAAUAUACAAGUUCAGCAAUAACUUUCUUCUGAAGCUUGUAGGACUCACACACACCGGCUCUAUGCAGAAGAACAACCAUACACUUUCUAAACAAAAGAAGCAAACUGGUUGCCAGUACUAUUCUAUAAUGAUAAAUUUCAACUUUUUCACUUCUUGAACGGAAGCAUUAAGAAGCCUCUCUUGGAUAAACUUCAAUGAAUUUCAGAAUGCAUGCCUUUCCCUGAGGCCAAAAGGUGCUGGAUUCCUGUUAAGUAUUCUUAGCUUCAAAAACUGAAGAGGACUGAAUGCAUCUUGAGCACAGAAAAAUUAGUCAGACCUGCCUAUUAAAGAGAUAAGAUAAAAAUGGAUUUUUAUUACCUCUCCACGAACAAGAACAAACACUUUGAUAGUUAAUUUCAUCUAGAAGAUAAUAUUAUAAUAAUAUUAUAACAAUAUAAUAAUAUAUUAUAAUGUUAUCUAGAAGAUAAUAUAGCAACAUAUUAUAUGAUCCUAAGAGGGACGUGUUUAAAUCAAUCAAGAAAAUUCUUUGAGUAUAGUACAGCUACUGUAAAUACUUCUCCCUACAGCGUGCUCCCACUCAAAUCCUUACGUUCCCCAAAUAUAUGCUGCAAUGUUUAGGGGUAUGCAAAACACCCAACUCCAAAACAUACUGUAUUUAAUACUUAAUGCUAAGACUCUUCUUAUGGGAUGGAGGAAUUACAGUUACAUGUAAUGUUUACAGUAUUUAUGACUGCAAAUUCAAAUCUUAACUUUGUAGCACGUUUUUCUAUUUAUCUUGUUUCAAAUAACAUAAGCUUGAAAAAUGUCUUAAAUUGCUCUGUGUCUAGCACGGUUAAAGUGAAGACGAGAUACUCACUGUUGCAGGUUUCUCAGUUCAGAAGGCAGGUCACAACCUAUGUAAGCAUUAUUCAUUAAACUGUACUCUAAUAGUGCACAAAAACAGGGAUCCUACAAGAAAAGAUUAAUGUUUAAUACAAACGUUACUCUGUGUAAUGAACUUGCCAACAAAUUAACACGGCACACAAAUGCAGAACAUUUCAGAGGACCUUUUCCAUAAACAGAACAGCACAAACAGUGCAAGCAUGGAGCAACAUCGCAGGAAGAUACCUUCAGAUGUAUUAAGUUACAUGUGUUGCAUGUACGUGUGGGGAAACUACACCUCCCAUUCAGUCAUUUCAUGAAUACUGUUCUGUCGAGAAGGUCAGAAAGAACCAUGCAUGAGCUCAAAAAGGAGACCUCUUCGGCAGGUGGUUACAUUAAUUGGGAGUAAUCACUUCUACCUCUCUCCAUUUAAAAAUGAAAAUAAUUGCAUCAGAUAGUCCCCUCCAAAUUAGUCAUUUACCAUGGCAAAUACCAUACAUGAUUCAAAGAUGUAAGAAGAAAACAAAAACAACUUACUUUCACAAGAAGAUGAGGAUUUCCUAUGACAAUCAGCAAAGCUUUUGCUCUAGUAAUGGCCACGUUGAAUCUCUUUGGGUUAGAGAGAAAGCCCAAACAGUAUUCCUCUUCAGCAAAUGUGUCUUCAUAAGAUCGCACCUACAAAUCACAGAUACAGAUUUAGAACUGGAAUAAUGAGAAACCAACUUACUUUGUCACAGUGUAACUUUCAUCUAUUAAAAAGUAUAAUUUACUCACUACAGCAAACCACAGUUCAAUGUGAGCAAUACACAAGUUAGCUUCAAAAUCCAAAAUUCAGCUGUCUAACUCAUUUCCCACCACUGGUGUUCCCAGAGGUGGUCUUUUUUUUCCAAUAGUCCACUAAUAUAACUUCAGCAAUUUCAAGAGAAUGGUAUAUUAGCUUUAUUUGAGCAUCAGGAAUAUCCACUGUAAGCUGAAACACAAGAUACCAACAUAAAAUCAAUGUUUUUCAAGAUGUAAGCUUUUCAGUAGAAGAAAUGCUAGAAUUGCUGUUUUUUUUUUCUUUUUAUGUCCUACAAAUCAACAAUAUUUCAGAGUGUCAUCAGUCACCUUCUAGUUUUGAAGUAUCAUCAGAUACUUCAAUUAAAAAAAACCCCAAGAUUUAUGACUGAUACCUUCAGCAAAGUUUGCAAAGCUGUGGUGAAAGGCAAGGGUUACCACCUUCCAUAUAACAGCAGAAACUCCCAACAUAUUUGGCGAUGCAUUCUUCUUCUCCUCUUGCCUCCUCACCAAACGCAAUGGUUGGACUCAAUACAAUUCAAAACAUCAUCUUCUCAAACUUCCACCUUUCUGUAUUUCCUCAACAUCCCCUUCUAUCAAGUUUGAGAAGUGGACCUAGGUGAACUUAAAUGAGAUUCAAGGUGUUGCACUUGGGUCGGGGCCAUUCCAGAUAUGCAUACAGAGUGGGAUAACUCUUUGAGAGCAGCCCUGUGGGAAAGGACUUGGGGGUCCUGAUGGACAAGAAGCUUGAUAUGAACCAGCAGUGUGCAUUUGCAGCCUGGGAGGCCAACAAUAUCCUAGGCUGCAUCAAAAAAGGGGUGGCCAGCAGGGUGAGGGAGAUGAUUGUUCCACUUACUCUGCACCUGUGAGGCCCUGUCUAGAGUACUGUGUCCAGGCCUGGGGCAUCCAGCAAAGAAAAAGAUGUGGAAUUCUCAAACUGGUCCCAGAGGAGGGUCAUGAAGAUGAUCAAAGGGCUGGAACACCUCUCCUAUGAAGAAAGGCUGAGGGAGCUGGGCUUGUUCAGUCUGGAGAAGAGAAGGCUCUGGGAAAACUUCACUGCAGCCUUCCAGUUUGGGUUUGUUGUCAGGCAGAAAUUUUUUUACUCAGAGGGUGGUGAGGCACUGGCACAGCUGCCCAGAGAAGCUAUGGAUGUCUCAUCCCUGAAGGCAUCCAAGACCAGGUUGGAUGGGGCCCUGGGCAGUCUUAUCUGGUGCGUGGCAGCCUGCCCAUGGCAGUGGGAUUGAAACUAGAUGACUGUUAAGGUCCCUUCCAACCAAUGCCAUUUUAUGAUUCUGUGAUCAGUCAGAAAUUUUCUGAAAGACUCAUUUAUUGCAAAGAGUGAAGACAAACAGCUUUGCAUUCUCAUGUUUAUAUAAAAAUUUCUAGCAAUGCAAUUUGUGCUUCUGUACUGUCCUAUUUACACAGAUAUAGUCAACCAACACCAAUACCGAAUCAAGGAAGUGAAGUACUGUGAAAAUGAUGUCCUGUGACCAUUGUACUGCUGAAGUACAAACAUAGCACAGACUCCUUUCCCCUGUCCCUUUUUUUGCAAGGCAUUUUAUAGCUUCAGAUUCAAAUAGCCAGAAGCUAGAAAAGACAUUUACCAACAUCCCAAUACUUAACCAGCACAACACUUCAACAGUGCAUCAUGAAAAUGAUCAUGAAAGACUGUCAAGUAUUCUGCUAACAGUAAAAAAAAUGGUACUAGAUUCCUACAGUCAGCACUGGUGUCUGGGUAAUCAUCAGCUGUAUACAAUUAUGUGGUAAUUCUCAAACAGAACAUGAAAAGAACCUACAUCAACAUUCCUAAGCUAAACAACAACUUCAGAUUACUGUGAUUUAUACAGUUCUCUCCAAUAUUUAUACUGCACCCAGUUUCCAUCGUCGCUGAGCAUGCUUAAAGUGAAGAUAUCUUAUCUGUGUGAAACUCUAUAAACUCAUUUUGAAUUAUCUACAAAGGCUUGAAGUCUACCUCAAAAGCACAGAUACCAUCCUGUUUGCAUGCAUUUCAAUUAAGCAUUUUUCCCAAACAGUAUGACAGAGGAGUGACAAAAUCACAGUUCCCUUGGUUUUUUUCAUCCUCGUUCCCCAAAGCUCCAUGUCAAAAAGGAGCUACAGAGAAUUGAGAACACACAAAUAUUCUAGACAAGACCACAACAAGUAUACAUACUGUUGAUAAGAUGGUAACCAUGCACUCUUGUCCUUGAAACUCUUCUACUGUGCCGACUUUAAUAUCUGACAAAUCAAUGCUUCUCAGAAGAAAUUUAAUUUUUUCUACCUGGAAAAAAUGUUUGAAGGAAUUUAUUUUCAUAUUUUACAGUGGAUUACUUCAAAACCAAAGACAUGAGACAUGUAAAGUAAUUUAACACACAUAGGUUGUAGGGAAUGCCUACACCAAGGUUAGCCAUCACCCACUACUAAGGUUUUAAAACAAAACAGUAGCUUUUCCUGCUGUGUAUAACAUUUCUUAUGUGACUCAACAGGGGGAAUAUUUGCUACUUACAUGUAAACAGAAAUUAACAGGUUUUUUGAUAGAUUUUAAUGACAUGAGCAACUUAGAUCUUAGGAGCUUAUCCACGCAGGCUCUUCUUCCAUCAUGGAAUAUGUGCCAACCCAAGACUUACCACAGGUGUGGUAGGGCAAACAGCUUCCCCCACGCCCUCUCAAGAGGGCUGUGCAGAGAUUCCACCUUUCCUUGCUACAUACACCAUACAGAGUGAAAAAAACUCAGGUUUUUCACUCUAAACUCUAGAUUUAAUGAGAUCAUCAUUAGUGAAUGAUAAAACACUGCGUAACGAAACACAAUGAAGUUCUGAGAUAUGCCUUCCCACUUUACCAAACCAGAGCAGCAACGCAAAACUGCAACUUCAAAUAUAGAAACUUUGAAGUUUUAAAUAGUAGUUAUACCUGCUUACGAUACGGUGUAAUCACUCCAAUAUCAGUCACUGACACUGCAAUGCUUUCAUUUUUAGCCAGGUGGCAACAGUACUGCAUUACUUGAACUGCUUCAGUUGGAUUAAACCACGAAGGACUGUGACCUUCACGAGUUUCUUUGCCCUGUAUUAGGAGAAGCAAAGCGAGCAAAUGAAGAACACAAAAACUAACUACAUAUUUAACUGAUUAUAGUCUCAUACAUCUUAAAUGCAAAACAAACAAAAACAAAAAAAUCCAAACAACAACAGAAAUUGUGACUUAACAUUAUAUACAAAUUUCUUUACUCGCUGUAAAUCCUUUUCAAUAAGCAACCACCACCUGUAUUCUAUGAUGACAGUGCUUUAAAUAUGCGACAAAGAAUAUAAAUCUCAGCUCAGAUAACAGGUGUUUGCAAGCCGUUAUCCCGCUUUUGCACAAAGCAGAAGAGUUCAGACACAAGCGCAUCUCCGAACAGUGGAUACACCACUUACUACUUCACUAACUUCUUGGAAGGCCCACAAAAACUUUUCUUCCUGAAGUACCAGUUUUAUCCUUGACUUUUUAAUCUUCAAUAACGUUCUAGUUUUAGAGGCUUGCAUUCAUUCUAGUGCAGCAGACUCUUACCAGAAUUAAUCUAAAUCUAAUGGAGUUGCCUGCAACUCCAGACUGAUAAAUUUGCAGAUUUAAAUUUUUAUUAAAGUGUCUUCACAAUACCCUGCAAUCUGCAGCUGCUUAAGUUUUAAGUGCUGCUUUAAGUUUUUUUUUUUUUUAAGUAGAAAGCUAUUUGUCUUCAGUAGUUGUUUUGAAAACCAGAUGGUCAAGAAGCCACACUGCUUGCAAAAAACUUAUUCUUUUUCCAUAUUCUUUCCAAAAUUCAUUCUAAUGAAUAAAACUUUUGUCUACAACAUUAGCAAACUUCUAUGAAGCCUCUUUAUUUAUACUUAGAUUACGUGAACAUUUUACAUACCCUUACUCCGUGAAAAAUUAAUGGAAACCCUUUCCUGGGCAAUUUCUCCCAGUGUAACAAAGAAGAUACUACUGAUGUGUCUGCACAAACUUCUAGCUCUUUGUGAUAAAACAAUUUAGAUGGUAAGGCAAGCAAUGCAGAAUGUGACCUGUAGUUGUUUACGAGUUUUGUGAUC